GCUGGCUUACCGUCUAGUGCAUGUAAUGUGAAAUCAUGACUAGACUGGUAACCUGCUC
rnacentral:pre_miRNA from 1 species